rnacentral:lncRNA from 1 species
UUGAUCGAUAAACUUUGUUGAAAACAAAUGGAGAUUCUCGAAAGAGUAGAUUUAAGAGGCUACUUUAGGAGUUUUGCUUCUAGACUCGAUGAUGUGAACCAAUCUGCGCUUUGAAGAACAAAGGAAGAAAUGGAACACGCCACCAAGUUGAGAGAGAGCAACACAAAAAUACUUAUAACCACUCAAAGAUUUGAUUGAAUGUAUAUGCUUCCUGGCUACUCUUUGGACUCAUUUGAUUGAUAAAGCUUCCAAAUAUACGUGUGCUAAAUCUUAAACAUGGCAUUCAAUAAGCCCACCGGGAGAGGGGUCUCUUAUGGGACUACGUCAAGACCAAAUCUUCACCCCCAUCCCAAGAGAAGAAGAAGAUCUAGGCUUUGACCCACCUUAUAGUGUUGAACCUGCCCAAAUUAACACUCUCCGGGUGCAAGAAGUCAGAGAACACCCUGCACGCAUUAGAUCAAUUAUUGUUAGCCCCCCUGAGACGACGGAAACAUCUCCUCUGCAACAACAGUUAAUCCCUGAGCUGCAGGAGGAAGAAACUCUUAAUGACUUCCAAAACAAAGUAAGGGAAAGAACGGUGCGACAUCAUAAAGCAAGAUCACCACGAAGCGGAACUAAUGUCCUGCGAGGAGCCAGCACAAAGAAAAGAAGAUUAUCACAAAUUCUUCACUCACCAGGAGCUAACAAAAAACAAAAGAAUGAUGUACCAAACAAAGGACGUACUCGCGGGGAAGCUUCAAAGUCGGGUAACAAGGCAUCAGAGAACCCAAAGAACCCACCUAUCCAACUAAUUCCAGCUAUGUCGAAGAAGAAAAUGGAUUUUCGGGUUCCCCCUCCCCAGGCUCCUUAGUCGUUCUGAGCUGGAACUGUUGUGGGUUGGGGAACCCCAUAACAGUCCAGCGUCUGAAGGAGCUUCGGAAAAGGAAGUCUCCUGACAUAGUGUUCCUAAUGGAAACAAAGAACUCAGAAGAGAUGAUUAGGAAGGAACUCCCCUGGCUGAAAGAGGAAAAUAACUGCAUAGUUCCCCCCCAUAGCCCCGGCGGUGGUGGUCUGAUUCUCAGUUGGAAAAAAGACAUUGAUCUUACUGUCCUUUCUACGACAGACAACUUCAUUGAAACGAGAAUCAGUUCCAAAGGAAAGAGCUUCCUGACUACCUUUCUUUACGGAGAACCUGAUCACACAAAACGUAAUGCAGUCUGGAACGAGCUAACUACUCUACAUGCUAACCUAAAGGAACCUUGGUUCUUAACAGGGGAUUUCAAUGAACUGCAAGAUAAUAGUGAGAAAAAAGGAGGACCAGAGAGAGCAGAAGGCACCUUUGGAGCCUUCAGAACAUUCCUAUCUGAAAAUGACCUGUUUGAUCUCAAACAUUCUGGUAACCCUUUCUCUUGGAGGGGUAAAAGAGGUGCACACCUUGUUAGAUGUCGCCUCGACAGAGCUAUGAGCAACCCAGAAUGGAUGGAGCUCUUCCCCUCCUGCCGCUGUCAAUAUCUUAAAUUCGAGGGAUCUGAUCACCGCCCUAUCCUCUCCUACCUGGAUACAACAAGAAAGAAAGGCCAUAACUUAUUCCGCUAUGACAGACGCCUAAAAGAUCAAAAAGAGAUUAAAGAAUUGGUAGCGGAGAUCUGGCAAAACUGUACUUACCUUGGAGUAGAGGCUAGACUCGUCUUAGUCCGCAGAGCAAUUUGUAAAUGGUGCAAGCUGUUCCAGGAAAAUAGCAAACAAACCAUUGAGAAUCUACGAGUAGAGCUUGAUGAUCAGAUGACUAAGGACGACCCAGAUGAGGACAGGAUCCAAGAUAUCAAUAAACUCAUCCUAAAAGCUUAUAAUUCAGAAG